CCUACGGGUGGCAGCAGUCGAGAAUCAUUCACAAUGGGGGAAACCCUGAUGGUGCGAAGCCGCGUGGGGGAAUGAAGGUCUUCGGAUUGUAAACCCCUGUUAUGUGGGAGCAAAUUAAAAAGAUAGUACCACAAGAGGAAGAGACGGCUAACUCUGUGCCAGCAGCCGCGGUCAUACAGAGGUCUCAAGCGUUGUUCGGAAUCACUGGGCGUAAAGCGUGCGUAGGCUGUUUCGUAAGUCGUGUGUGAAAGGCGCGGGCUCAACCCGCGGACGGCACAUGAUACUGCGAAACUAGAGUAAUGGAGGGGGAGCCGGAAUUCUCGGUGUAGCAGUGAAAUGCGUAGAUAUCGAGAGGAACACUCGUGGCGAAGGCGGGUUCCUGGACAUUAACUGACGCUGAGGCACGAAGGCCAGGGGAGCGAAAGGGAUUAGAUACCCCUGUAGUC
rnacentral:rRNA from 1 species